ensembl:rRNA 5S_rRNA 5S ribosomal RNA
GCUUACGGCCAUACCAGCCAAAGACCGCCCGUUCUCAUCUGCUCUCAGAAGCUAAGAAGGGUUGGGCCUGGUUAGUAUUUAGAUGGGAGACUGCCUGGGAAUACCAGGUGCUGUAAACU